CUUGCUUUUACAAUGUGAUUCAUGAAGUCAAAGUAGCUUCUCUAAUUAGUUUCCUAGGCUGUCAAUUAUUAAAUCAGCUUCCAAUUGGUCCCAUCAACUCACAGAAUAAGUUCUCAUGAAAAAAGCCUCUGUGUACGUGUGUGUGUGUGUGUGUGUGUGUGUGUGUACGUGUGUGUGUGUGUGUGUGUGUGUGUGUGUGUGUGUGUGUGUGUGUGUGUGUGUGUGUGUGUGUGUGUGUGUGUGUGUGUGUGUGUGUGUGUGUGUGUGUGUGUGUGUGUGUGUGUGUGUGUGUGUGUGUGUGUGUGUGUGUGUGUGUGUGUGUGUGUGUGUGUGUGUGUGUGUGUGUGUGUGUGUGUGUGUGUGUGUGUGUGUGUGUGUGUGUGUGUGUGUGUGUGUGUGUGUGUGUGUGUGUGUGUGUGUGUGUGUGUGUGUGUGUGUGUGUGUGUGUGUGUGUGUGUGUGUGUGUGUGUGUGUGUGUGUGUGUGUGUGUGUGUGUGUGUGUGUGUGUGUGUGUGUGUGUGUGUGUGUGUGUGUGUGUGUGUGUGUGUGUGUGUGUGUGUGUGUGUGUGUGUGUGUGUGUGUGUGUGUGUGUGUGUGUGUGUGUGUGUGUGUGUGUGUGUGUGUGUGUGUGUGUGUGUGUGUGUGUGUGUGUGUGUGUGUGUGUGUGUGUGUGUGUGUGUGUGUGUGUGUGUGUGUGUGUGUGUGUGUGUGUGUGUGUGUGUGUGUGUGUGUGUGUGUGUGUGUGUGUGUGUGUGUGUGUGUGUGUGUGUGUGUGUGUGUGUGUGUGUGUGUGUGUGUGUGUGUGUGUGUGUGUGUGUGUGUGUGUGUGUGUGUGUGUGUGUGUGUGUGUGUGUGUGUGUGUGUGUGUGUGUGUGUGUGUGUGUGUGUGUGUGUGUGUGUGUGUGUGUGUGUGUGUGUGUGUGUGUGUGUGUGUGUGUGUGUGUGUGUGUGUGUGUGUGUGUGUGUGUGUGUGUGUGUGUGUGUGUGUGUGUGUGUGUGUGUGUGUGUGUGUGUGUGUGUGUGUGUGUGUGUGUGUGUGUGUGUGUGUGUGUGUGUGUGUGUGUGUGUGUGUGUGUGUGUGUGUGUGUGUGUGUGUGUGUGUGUGUGUGUGUGUGUGUGUGUGUGUGUGUGUGUGUGUGUGUGUGUGUGUGUGUGUGUGUGUGUGUGUGUGUGUGUGUGUGUGUGUGUGUGUGUGUGUGUGUGUGUGUGUGUGUGUGUGUGUGUGUGUGUGUGUGUGUGUGUGUGUGUGUGUGUGUGUGUGUGUGUGUGUGUGUGUGUGUGUGUGUGUGUGUGUGUGUGUGUGUGUGUGUGUGUGUGUGUGUGUGUGUGUGUGUGUGUGUGUGUGUGUGUGUGUGUGUGUGUGUGUGUGUGUGUGUGUGUGUGUGUGUGUGUGUGUGUGUGUGUGUGUGUGUGUGUGUGUGUGUGUGUGUGUGUGUGUGUGACGUGUGUGUCUGUGUGUGUGUGUGUACGUGUGUGUGUGUGUGUGUGUGUACACGUGUGUGUGUGUGUGUGUGUGCGUGUGUGUGUGUGUGUGUGUGUGUGUGUGCGCUCUCCUCUUAAGUAACUUCCAUGCCAAACCAGCACAGGGACCCAGGCUGCAGCAGCCUGUUCCUGAGGGACU
rnacentral:lncRNA from 12 species